rnacentral:rRNA from 2 species
CUGGCCCAGGGAGGUCGGCAACGACCACCCAGGGCCGGAAAGUUCGUCAAACUUGGUCAUUUAGAGGAAGUAAAAGUCGUAACAAGGUCUCCGUAGGUGAACCUGCGGAGGGAUCAUU